AAGAUGGCCAACAAUUGAAGAGUUUGGAUGACAAUCUCAUUUUAUUAGGACUGCUCUAGGAUAGCUCUCAUGUGGAAAAAUGCAGGCAUGCCAACUAAUGUGAAUGAGAUCCACAUUGUCCAUCAGGUACACUGCCUCAUGCUCACCCUGGAACUCAAAAAUUAGGCUGGCCCAAAACUUAGGUAUGCCACACCAUAGGGAAGGAUUUGGAUGUGGAUGCCCACCAUUAGUUGUGUGUGGGGCACACAAAAAUGUGAAACUUCCCAUUAUGUGGGCAUGGAAAACACUUUCCUAUGUGUAUGUUUGUCAAUAUAUAAUUAGUAAAGCUCUGUACAAACAAAGCCUCUCUAUCUGCACCACAAAAUGUGGCCACACUUGCUAGCAUCUUACCUGCACAUCAGGUAAAUACCAUAGCAAUAUCAAGAUUAGUGGACCAAAAAAUUACUUAUAAAUUGCCAUCAUGUCGCUUCCACUAGCUCCUGCUUGAGUAUUUGUUGUAGGAUCUAUUCUGUCAUCUAUGAAACUAUCAUCAUGCUCAGUGUUGUCCUUGUCAUCUUCUUCAUCCUCCAACACUUCUGCAUCUGACGAUACCCUGAGCAGAAACAACCAUAAGUCAGGCCUCCAUGAACUGAAUACUUAUUUUCCCAUUUUGAUACAGGAACUGCCCACAAUCUCGAUCUCAGCCUGGGGAUUUCCCCCCCUUCUUUUGCCCAUGGUUCGAAGGAGAGUGAGAGUUCGGCUGGCUUCCAUUUUCAUUGCAGCCCUUUUGAGGUGCCUGAAAACAGGAAAACUAGGGUGAGCUUCACCAUGCAGAUGAUCGGGCCCAUAAAUCAGGCUAGUCCAGUCAUCUGGUGAGCCACAUGUGUGCAUUCAAUGUGGGUCUUUGGCAAAUUUCACUAAACCAUCCAUUGUGUUCCAGCAUGUGUGGCCUGCCUGAUUUUCAGACCAGAUCAUCUAAAGGGUAGAACCCUCUUGCAUGGCUGAGAUGUCCCUCACAUGGUUACCAUGUGCGGCCACGCGUGAGCUUAGUACUGCUAUUGUGUUCAAACAUCUCCUUAUCUUCCAGUGACCCAGAAGUUGUAAUACUUCUUUUUUUUUGUUAGCUUGUUAGUAGACCCCACUAUACUUCACUGUUAGCCACCCCCACUAGGGAUCGAUACCAAGACCUCAAGUGUUGAAACGAGGUUUUGUCUGGUUGGUCCCUGGCCUGCAUUUACAUCUUGGCUGUUAACAGCUGGUGACUAGGGUAAAGGUACAUUCACUCUUUCAAACCUAGGUAUGUUUGGUGUUGAUUGCUUUGAUGCAAUUCCGCCUCCAGGAACUGGAGCAAUCAUGGCCGUUGGAGCAUCCCAACCAACUGCAGUUGCCACCAAGGAUGGCCGGAUUUGUGUGAAAAACAAAACCACAUUACUUCUCUCUUUGUGCUAGAUUUGAAUCUGUUGGCUGUUGCACAGUGACCCGCGAAGAAGUGGAAGGAAGAGCUGCUGACUCUAGGAGUUGCUGGCAGUGAACCUGACAUUGAUGGAGAGGAAAUUGCUCCUCUCGCUAAGGAGAAUGUAGCCACUCCUCGAAAUCUCAAGUCAACCGAUACUAACCUAAGCUUUUUACAACUAACCAUAUCUUUGUAAUUCAUGGAUCCGUUGGCUAGUCACCAUCCCAAGAUGGAAGCACAAUAUUUUUUGCUUAUGGAAGUCCAAUUCUCUUACUACGAACAGAUGUAAUCUUUUAUGUAUGCAACAAACUGAUAGUCUUCUCGCCCCAUUUCUAAGCAUUGUCGGUAAGGUUAUAGAGAAGGAAUGUAAUCUUUCUCCAUGCAUUCAGUUUUCUUUUGUCCCACUGUAACUUCUUAGACAUGUAAUGUACUAGCAAGAUCAUCUAAUUCGCUAAUA